rnacentral:rRNA from 1 species
CCUGACGGUAGUCGUAUGCUCGUCUCCGAGACUAAGCCAUGCAAGUCCAAGUACACGUCCUUGAACGACGGAAACUGCGAACGGCUCAUUAAAUCAGUUGCGAUCUACUCGGCGUUCCGCGCCGCCGGAUAACCGUAGUAAUUCUAGGGCUAAUACGUGCGAAGCGCCCGAAGCCGCGAGGCGACGGGCGUUCUCGCCGGAUGUAGGAACCGACCCGGGGACCGCCGGGGCAACCCGGCGCCCCCGAGACGGGGCGAACCACGGUGAAAUGACGGAUCGUCGGCCCCGCGCCGGCGACUCGCCGAAUGAGUUUCUGACCUAUCAACUCGAGACGGCGGGGUAGAGGCCCGCCGCGGUAACGACGGGUAACGGGGAAUCAGGGUUCGAUUCCGGAGAGGAGCCCGAGAACGGCUACCACUUCCAAGGAAGGCAGCAGGCGCGCAACUUACCCUAAUCUCGAUUCGAGGAGGUAGUGACAAGAAUACCGAUGCGGGA